UUGGAGGGCAAGUCUGGUGCCAGCAGCCGCGGUAAUUCCAGCUCCAAUAGCGUAUAUUAAAGUUGUUGCAGUUAAAAAGCUCGUAGUUGAACCUUGGGCCUGGCUGGCCGGUCCGCCUCACCGCGUGUACUGGUCCGGCCGGGCCUUUCCCUCUGUGGAACCCCAUGCCCUUCACUGGGUGUGGCGGGGAAACAGGACUUUUACUGUGAAAAAAUUAGAGUGCUCCAGGCAGGCCUAUGCUCGAAUACAUUAGCAUGGAAUAAUAGAAUAGGACGUGUGGUUCUAUUUUGUUGGUUUCUAGGACCGCCGUAAUGAUUAAUAGGGACAGUCGGGGGCAUCAGUAUUCAAUUGUCAGAGGUGAAAUUCUUGGAUUUAUUGAAGACUAACUACUGCGAAAGCAUUUGCCAAGGAUGUUUUCAUUAAUCAGGAACGAAAGUUAGGGGAUCGAAGACGAUCAGAUACCGUCGUAGUCUUAACCAUAAACUAUGCCGACUAGGGAUCGGACGGUGUUAUUUUUUGACCCGUUCGGCGCCUUACGGGAAAC
rnacentral:rRNA from 1 species